AAGUCGUAACAAGGUUUCCGUAGGUGAACCUGCGGAAGGAUCAUUACCGAGUGCGGGCCCUCUGGGUCCAACCUCCCAUCCGUGUCUAUCUGUACCCUGUUGCUUCGGCGUGGCCACGGCCCGCCGAAGACUAACAUUUGAACACUGUCUGAAGUUUGCAGUCUGAGUUUUUAGUUAAACAAUAAUUAAAA
rnacentral:misc_RNA from 1 species